UCGGUUCCGGUUCACGCCGCAAACCUCCCGGUACGGGAGGGGCGACCCGGGCC
rfam:Mycobacterium parafortuitum strain CCTG 20999 Mycobacterium_parafortuitum_CCTG20999_contig13, whole genome shotgun sequence.